UACGAAGGGGGCUAGCGUUGUUCGGAAUUACUGGGGGGUAAAAGCGCACGUAGGCGGACUUUUAAGUCAGGUGUGAAAUCCCGGGGCUCAACCUCGGAACUGCAUUUGAAACUGGAAGUCUUGAGACCAGGAGAGGUUAGCGGAAUACCGAGUGUAGAGGUGAAAUUCGUAGAUAUUCGGUGAAACACCAGUGGCGAAGGCGGCUAACUGGACUGGUACUGACGCUGAGGUGCGAAAGUGUGGGGAGCAAACAGGAUUAGAUACCCCCCGUAGUCC
rnacentral:rRNA from 1 species